rnacentral:rRNA from 1 species
ACCUACGGGCGGCUGCAGUGGGGAAUUUUGGACAAUGGGGGCAACCCUGAUCCAGCCAUUCCGCGUGAGUGAAGAAGGCCUUCGGGUUGUAAAGCUCUUUCGGCAGGAACGAAACGGUUGCGGUUAAUACCCGCGGCUACUGACGGUACCUGCAGAAGAAGCACCGGCUAACUACGUGCCAGCAGCCGCGGUAAUACGUAGGGUGCGAGCGUUAAUCGGAAUUACUGGGCGUAAAGCGUGCGCAGGCGGAUUGUUAAGCAAGACGUGAAAUCCCCGGGCUUAACCUGGGAAUGGCGUUUUGAACUGGCAGUCUAGAGUGCGUCAGAGGGGGGUGGAAUUCCACGUGUAGCAGUGAAAUGCGUAGAGAUGUGGAGGAACACCGAUGGCGAAGGCAGCCCCCUGGGAUGACACUGACGCUCAUGUACGAAAGCGUGGGGAGCAAACAGGAUUAGAUACCCUUGUAGUCCUG